UCAGCCUACGUACUGUAGAUCGCAAGCCCAUAAUAAGUCAAUAGGGCUAACUGGCUAGCUACUAGUAGUUACUUUUUCUCAACAUGUUUCUAGUAGUUUCUAGCACAUCAAGAUAACGCAGUACUGUUGACUAGCCACGAAGAAUUGACAUCUACUUUGCAUAACAUUAGUCGUAGGUCAUUUUUGCCUGUUAAACUAUCUGGUUAGCUACAUUAUUACAAGUAGCUAGCUUAUAGUUAUGAAGUAAAACGUUUGAAUUGCGUAUAUCUGGUUUCCUCUCUAUUGUCAUUGUCCUGGCUGGAAGAAGGUUCAGUGAAUGGAACGUACUCAAGAGGACAUCCUGGGAGAAUGCACUCAGAGCAUGAGUGCGGAGCACGCCUCCUUCUGCCAUUGGAAUGCUCUCUGGUCAUGAGGGGGUUGAUACACACUUCAAUAUAUUUACACACACAGCCCUGGUUGGCAGAUAGGAUCUUCAACACCAGUGGUCCUCGAACUGUGGAUGGCGACAGGGUCCAGGUGGGUCACCCCAUCACAUUCUUUGUACAUUGCAACAUUUGAUUUAAUUCUAAACUCUAGAGCAGGGCUCUCCAACCCUGUUCCUGGAGAGCUACACUUCUGUAGGUUUUUUGCUCCAACACUAAUCUAGCGAACAUGAAUCUAAUAAUUAGCUGCGUGAGUCGCUAAAUCAUGUUGGUUUACAACUGGGGUUGGAGCUAAAAACCUACAGGAGGGUAGGUCUCCAGGAACACGUUUGGAGAGCUCUGUUCAAGGAGGAUACAUAUGCAAAUAAGAUGACUGGUCAUUGGUCAGAAUAAUUAGAUCAGAUUGUGAUGUCAUGCUUUCCCCCUUCGUUUAUUUUUGUAAAUACUUUAACACCUAUUUUUCUUAACUACAUUGUUGGUUAAGGGCCCGUAAGCAUUUCACUGUAAGGUCGACACCUGUUGGAUUCGGUGACAAAUAACAUUUGAUUUGCUGUGGGCCAAAAUCUCCCACCUGAACAGGCUGACAUUACCAUCACUUUUUCACUAAAAAGGACAUCAUAAUUUCAGUGUCAUUUCAACCUCAGUGUGGAAAUAUAUAAGUUUGUAAGAUGGGUGAAGACGAUUAUAGGAAAAAGUACUCUUCUGAAACUAUCAUUACAGACAUUAGUGGUAAGCAAAUGUGUGUUUAUACAAUUUUUUCAGCUUCGUAGGUAAAUAAUGUUAACCUGUUCCUUUCCACUUCACGUCAGAUAUGGACUAUUGAACAACUACAAAGAGGCUCAACCUCAGUAAAUAAUGGCUCAGUAUUUUGUAUUUUCUUGUCAUUACCAGACAAUGAAUUGACAGAUUUACAGAGUAACUUUAGAGGGGUGGAGCCACACAAUAUACAUGCCCAUUUGUUUUGGUAUUCAUCUCUCAUUCACACAAAAACAGUCUCUCUCUCUCACACACACACACACACUCCCUUUAAAACAGUCUCUCUCUCACACACACACACACUCCCUUUAAAACAGUCUCUCUCACACACACACACACUCCCUUUAAAACAGUCUCUCUCACACACACACACUCCCUUUAAAACAGUCUCUCACACACACACACACACUCCCUUUAAAACAGUCUCUCUCUCACACACACACUCCCUUUAAACAGUCUCUCACACACCCAGUUGACUCCCCAGUCAUUGUCCAUUGACUCUAAAAAAUGUUUUAAAUUAAUUAUCCACAUAACACAUGAAAAACAAGAAAACAUCUGAAUCAUCAUGUUACAUACAAGACAGAGUCCUGAAUCAUCAUGUUACAUACAAGACAGAGUCCUGAAUCAUCAUGUUACAUACAAGACAGAGUCCUGAAUCAUCAUGUUACAUACAAGACAGAGUCCUGAAUCAUCAUGUUACAUACAAGACAGAGUCCUGAAUCAUCAUGUUACAUACAAGACAGAGUCCUGAAUCAUCAUGUUACAUACAAGACAGAGUCCUGAAUCAUCAUGUUACAUACAAGACAGAGUCCUGAAUCAUCAUGUUACAUACAAGACAGAGUCCUGAAUCAUCAUGUUACAUACAAGACAGAGUCCUGAAUCAUCAUGUUACAUACAGACAGAGUCCUGAAUCAUCAUGUUACAUACAAGACAGAGUCCUGAAUCAUCAUGUUACAUACAAGACAGAGUCCUGAAUCAUCAUGUUACAUACAAGACAGGGUCCUGAAUCAUCAUGUUACAUACAAGACAGGGUCCUGAAUCAUCAUGUUACAUACAAGACAGAGUCCUGAAUCAUCAUGUUACAUACAAGACAGAGGGCUGCAUCUGAAAUGACUCCCUAUAUCAUACACUGGUUAAAUGUAUUGAAGAGAUAGUGGACCGGACUCCAACCCAUAGCGAUGUGAAUGAGGUCAUGCUGCUUGCUUAAAGAGCACCACCUUCCUCCUGAGUCAGCUCCUAGUGAGGCGCAAACCCAAGACCUCUGCCUCGAACACACGUGACAGGCCACCUGAAGAGUCGUACCGGUCACGCCACAGAACAGCCAGUUAUUCGACAGCGCAAGUGGGGACGCCAACUCUGGCAUGUAUGUGUUCUGGGGUCAGUGGCUGUAACGGCAGGGCUGGGGUCAGCGGCUGUAAGCAAAGGACUGGGGUCAGCGGCUGUAACCGCAGGGCUGGGGUCAGCGGCUGUAAGCAAAGGACUGGGGUCAGCGGCUGUAACCGCAGGGCUGGGGUCAGCGGCUGUAACCGCAGGGCUGGGGUCAGCGGCUGUAACCGCAGGGCUGGGGUCAGCGGCUGUAACCGCAGGGCUGGGGUCAGCGGCUGUAAGCGCAGGGCUGGGGUCAGCGGCUGUAAGCGCAGGGCUGGGGUCAGCGGCUGUAAGCGCAGGGCUGGGGUCAGCAGCCGUUUGACCAGGGUCCAUAGGGAAUAGUGUGCCAUUUGGUAGAUCAGACGAGAAGGCCCUACUAAAUAUACAGUACACACACAACUACAUAGACUUUCCUCUCUUCUUCACAAGUCUCUCAAUGUUCUCUUUUUCAUCAGACACACUUGGGAUUCUCUUCCUUUCCUCUCCUUUCUUUCUGCCUGAAAGUGGGAGAAGAUUUAACACAGUCCAUUCCAGAUAUUCCACUCCAGACAUUAUUAUGGGCCAUCCUCCCCUCAGCAGCCUCCACUGACAGAGGGAAGAGGGUUAUUUGUGUGUUCUCCUUAGCUGGUGAAGGAGAGGAGGUGUCUUGGUUAAAGUCUGUUUCUGCAGUUUGAUCCGGUCUGAUCCGGUUUGGGUCAGGUGGAAACUCAUUUCAUGGGGGGCCUAGUGUCCUCUGGUUUGUCUUUUGUCCUUUCAGUUAAGACCUGGACAACCAGGUGAGGGGAGUUCCUUACUAAUUACUGACCUUAAUUCAUCAAUCAAGUACAAGGGAGUGAAAACCCUGCAGACACUCGGCCGUCGGUGGAAUGAGUUUGUCCCGUUGUGGACUGGGGGGGUAAAGCCGGUCUAGGACGGGCUAGCAGGCAAUGCUUCACUAAAGGAUGUGUAUACAGUACAAGUAGUAGGACUAGACUGGUUUGGGCUGGCUUGGUUCAGUCUGACCCGGUUCGGGUCGUGUUUGAACCAUAUGGAGCUGGUUAGGACAGGAGUUCCCAAACUUUUUGUUCCGUGACCCCAUUUUGUCAUUUUAAAAAAAGGUGAUGAAAUCAACAGCCAAUGUUUGGUUCUUAAACUGGGACUAUAACCAUCUAUUACAAAUCAGUUGACAGUACAUUUCACAGUGUUUCAAUAUGAAGGAUUGUUUGAAGUGACAAAUGCAUCAGAAAGGUAUUGGGAAGUUCAGAAGAUCAUCAGCCAAUCAUUUAGUUUGAUUUGCUGAGUAGAAAAUAACACCAGUGAUUGUUGUUGUUCCUCCUGUCUGAUUUUAGUGCCUGGUCUUGUCCACUCUGUUCUGAGGCUUCUGGGUAUUGAGGAGGGAAACUCUAGAUUAAACCGUUCGAAAGACAGGAAGAAAGAAACCGCUCGAAACUAUGACAACGGCACCUAGCAGCUACCGGAGGUUACUGACUUAACCCCAGUUCUUUGAACCAAACGCAAUAAAAA